UACGUAGGGGGCGAGCGUUGUCCGGAUUUAUUGGGCGUAAAGAGCGUGUAGGCGGCCAGGUAGGUCUGCUGUGAAAACUCGAGGCUCAACCUCGAGACGUCGGCGGAAACCAUCUGGCUAGAGUCCGGAAGAGGAGAGUGGAAUUCCUGGUGUAGCGGUGAAAUGCGCAGAUAUCAGGAAGAACACCCGUGGCGAAGGCGGCUCUCUGGGCCGGUACUGACGCUGAGGAGCGAAAGCGUGGGGAGCGAACAGG
rnacentral:rRNA from 1 species